GCAAUACAUGCCGGCGACCGGCGCAAGGGUGCGUAACGCGUGAGCAAUCUGCCCGUAUCAGGGGGAUAAGCGAUGGAAACGUCGUCUAAUACCGCAUAACACCAAUGAUGGCAUCAUCGAUGGUUGAAAGCUUCGGUGGAUACGGAUGAGCUCGCGAGACAUUAGUUAGUUGGCGGGGUAACGGCCCACCAAGACCGCGAUGUCUAGGGGAACUGAGAGGUUGGUCCCCCACACUGGAACUGAGACACGGUCCAGACUCCUACGGGAGGCAGCAGUGAGGAAUAUUGGACAAUGGCCGGAAGGCUGAUCCAGCCAUGCCGCGUGAAGGAAUAAGGUCCUAUGGAUUGUAAACUUCUUUUGUACGAGAGCAAUAAGUGUCACGAGUGACACGAUGAGAGUAUCGUACGAAUAAGCAUCGGCUAACUCCGUGCCAGCAGCCGCGGUAAUACGGAGGAUGCGAGCGUUAUCCGGAUUUAUUGGGUUUAAAGGGUGCGUAGGCGGGAUUUUAAGUCAGCGGUGAAACGCAAGGGCUCAACCCUUGACCUGCCGUUGAAACUGGAGUUCUUGAAUGCGGAUGCUGCGGGAGGAAUGUGUGGUGUAGCGGUGAAAUGCAUAGAUAUCACACAGAACACCGAUUGCGAAGGCAUCUCACAAAUCCGUGAUUGACGCUGAGGCACGAAAGUGUGGGGAUCAAACAGGAUUAGAUACCCUGGUAGUCCGCACUG
rnacentral:rRNA from 1 species